UCGAGCGAGAACCAGUCCUUCGGGACUGGGGAAAGCGGCGAACGGGUGAGUAACACGUGGGUAAUCUGCCCUCGGCACUGGGAUAGCCCGGGGAAACCCGGAUUAAUACCGGAUAGCCUUUCGAGCCUUCGGGCUCGUCAGAAAAGGUGGCUUCGGCUUCCGGCUGAGGAUGAGCCCGCGGCGGAUUAGCUUGUCGGUGAGGUAAUGGCUCACCAAGGCUCCGAUCUGUAGCUGGUCUGAGAGGACGAUCAGCCACACUGGGACUGAGACACGGCCCAGACUCCUACGGGAGGCAGCAGUAGGGAAUCUUGCGCAAUGGGCGAAAGCCUGACGCAGCGACGCCGCGUGCGGGAAGAAGGCCUUCGGGUUGUAAACCGCUUUCAGGAGGGACGAAGCCACUCGGGUUAAUAGCCCAGAGGGUGACGGUACCUCCAGAAGAAGCCCCGGCUAACUACGUGCCAGCAGCCGCGGUAAUACGUAGGGGGCAAGCGUUG
rnacentral:rRNA from 1 species